UGCUCAGCAGGGUGUACACGUACCCCACGGACUCUGCCAGGGCUUUGGUGGAGUCUUCAGACACAAAGACGUGGCAGGCAAACCGGUGGUCGGCGGGGUGCUUGGUGAUGAACCCAAAGUACCUGCAGGGACAGGUCUGUCUGUGCUGGGACGGGGGCUCGGCCCACACCCACCCACCUCAAGGCUGCAGACCACCCGUGCCUCCUCCACUGCCAUCCCA
rnacentral:lncRNA from 1 species